rnacentral:rRNA from 1 species
AGUCAAGUAAUUAAGUGCAUGUGGUGGAUGCCUUGGCAGUCAGAGGCGAUGAAAGACGUGAUAGCCUGCGAAAAGCUCCGGGGAGGCGGCAAAUAUCCUUUGAUCCGGAGAUGUCUGAAUGGGGGAACCCACCUACUUUAAGGUAGGUAUUGCAACAUGAAUACAUAGUGUUGCAAGGCGAACGAGGGGAAGUGAAACAUCUCAGUACCCUUAGGAAAAGAAAUCAAUUGAGAUUCCCUCAGUAGCGGCGAGCGAACGGGGAUCAGCCCAUUAAGUUAUGUGUGUUUUAGUGGAACGCUCUGGGAAGUGCGAACGUAGAGGGUGAUAUUCCCGUACACGAAAGGGCACACAUAAUGAUGACGAGUAGGGCGAGGCACGUGAAACCUUGUCUGAAUAUGGGGGGACCAUCCUCCAAGGCUAAAUACUCCUGACUGACCGAUAGUGAACCAGUACCGUGAGGGAAAGGCGAAAAGAACCCCUGUGAGGGGAGUGAAAUAGAUCCUGAAACCGCAUGCAUACAAGCAGUGGGAGCACCUUCGUGGUGUGACUGCGUACCUUUUGUAUAAUGGGUCAGCGACUUAUAUUCAGUAGCGAGGUUAACCGUAUAGGGGAGCCGUAGAGAAAUCGAGUCUUAAUAGGGCGUUUAGUUGCUGGGUAUAGACCCGAAACCAGGCGAUCUAUCCAUGAGCAGGUUGAAGGUUGGGUAACACUAACUGGAGGACCGAACCCACUGUCGUUGAAAAGCCAGGGGAUGACUUGUGGAUAGGGGUGAAAGGCUAAUCAAGCCUGGUGAUAGCUGGUUCUCCCCGAAAGCUAUUUAGGUAGCGCCUCGGACGAAUACCAUAGGGGGUAGAGCACUGUUUCGGCUAGGGGGUCAUCCCGACUUACCAAACCGAUGCAAACUCCGAAUACCUAUGAGUACUAUCCGGGAGACAGACUGCGGGUGCUAACGUCCGUAGUCAAGAGGAAAACAAUCCAGACCGCCAGCUAAGGCCCCAAAAUCAUAGUUAAGUGGGAAACGAUGUGGGAAGGCAUAGACAGCUAGGAGGUUGGCUUAGAAGCAGCCACCCUUUAAAGAAAGCGUAAUAGCUCACUAGUCGAGUCGGCCUGCGCGGAAGAUGUAACGGGGCUAAAACUAUGUGCCGAAGCUGCGGAUGUAUACUUUGUAUACGUGGUAGGGGAGCGUUCUGUAAGCCGAUGAAGGUGUGUUGAGAAGCAUGCUGGAGGUAUCAGAAGUGCGAAUGCUGACGUGAGUAACGACAAAACGGGUGAAAAACCCGUUCGCCGAAAGACCAAGGGUUCCAGUCCAACGUUAAUCGGGGCUGGGUGAGUCGACCCCUAAGGCGAGGCCGAAAGGCGUAGUCGAUGGGAAAAUGGUUAAUAUUCCAUUACUUCUGUGUAAUGCGAUGAGAGGACGGAGAAGGCUAAAUCAGCCUGGCGUUGGUUGUCCAGGUGAAAGGAUGUAGGCAUGUAUCUUAGGCAAAUCCGGGGUACUCUAUGUUGAGAUCUGAUAGCAAGCUGUACUUGUACAGCGAAGUGGUUGAUGCCAUGCUUCCAGGAAAAGUCUCUAAGCUUCAGUUACACAGGAAUCGUACCCGAAACCGACACAGGUGGUCAGGUCGAGUAGACCAAGGCGCUUGAGAGAACUCUGCUGAAGGAACUAGGCAAAAUGGUACCGUAACUUCGGGAGAAGGUACGCUGUUGUUGGUGAUGGAACUUGCUUCCUGAGCUGACGACAGCCGCAGAAACCAGGCCGCUGCAACUGUUUAUUAAAAACAUAGCACUCUGCAAACACGAAAGUGGACGUAUAGGGUGUGAUGCCUGCCCGGUGCUGGAAGGUUAAUUGAUGGGGUUAGCGUAAGCGAAGCUCUUGAUCGAAGCCCCAGUAAACGGCGGCCGUAACUAUAACGGUCCUAAGGUAGCGAAAUUCCUUGUCGGGUAAGUUCCGACCUGCACGAAUGGCAUAAUGAUGGCGGCGCUGUCUCCAGCAGAGGCUCAGUGAAAUCGAAAUCGCUGUGAAGAUGCAGUGUACCCGCGGCUAGACGGAAAGACCCCGUGAACCUUUACUGCAGCUUGACACUGAACUUUGACCUUACUUGUGUAGGAUAGGUGGGAGGCUUUGAAGCUGGAACGCUAGUUCCAGUGGAGCCGUCCUUGAAAUACCACCCUGGUAAUGUUGAGGUUCUAACUCUGUCCCGUGAUCCGGGACGAGGACCGUGUCUGGUGGGUAGUUUGACUGGGGCGGUCUCCUCCUAAAGAGUAACGGAGGAGUACGAAGGUGCGCUCAGCGUGGUCGGAAAUCACGCGUAGAGUAUAAAGGCAAAAGCGCGCUUAACUGCGAGACCCACAAGUCGAGCAGGUACGAAAGUAGGUCUUAGUGAUCCGGUGGUUCUGUAUGGAAGGGCCAUCGCUCAACGGAUAAAAGGUACUCUGGGGAUAACAGGCUGAUACCGCCCAAGAGUUCAUAUCGACGGCGGUGUUUGGCACCUCGAUGUCGGCUCAUCUCAUCCUGGGGCUGAAGCAGGUCCCAAGGGUAUGGCUGUUCGCCAUUUAAAGAGGUACGCGAGCUGGGUUUAGAACGUCGUGAGACAGUUCGGUCCCUAUCUACCGUGGGCGCUGGAAAUUUGAGAGGAUCUGCUCCUAGUACGAGAGGACCAGAGUGGACGAACCUCUGGUGUACCGGUUGUGACGCCAGUCGCAUCGCCGGGUAGCUAUGUUCGGAAGGGAUAACCGCUGAAAGCAUCUAAGCGGGAAGCCUACCUCAAGAUAAGAUUUCCCUAGGACUUUAUGUCCUCUAAAGAGCCGUUCGAGACUAGGACGUUGAUAGGUUGGAUGUGGAAGCAUAGUGAUAUGUGAAGCUGACCAAUACUAAUUGCUCGUGAGGCUUGACUAU